GCCUGAACCUGUUGUUUGGUAGAGUUCCCGUGUAGGGAGGUAUCCCCAUGGGAGCUACAUCACCACCAGUUGGUCCACCGGGGCAGUCGUCAAUAUCAGACUUUUCGGCGCCAAUCAACUUUUUUUUUUUUUUUUUUCCUUCUCGCCAAGCAUUGUAAAGCGAAUAUAUACAUGAUCAUCUCACAGUCAUUAGCUCAGUCCUCCAGAACUUCAUCGGAAGCUUCACCGUCUGCGAGCGCGUGUAACAAACAAAGAUGGCUGCAAAGAUGACUACCGGUAAGCCUCAAAUUCUUCCCAAACUUUUUCUCUGUAGUUUUCUAAAUAGUUUUAGAAAACUAUUAAUGAAUGAACUAUUAAUGAUUAACUACUAUUUACGAAUAACUGUGUUUUAGAAGUUACAGUAGAGGUUCACCAUAUGCCAAUUUAUCCUGGUAAGCAAUCCGUGAUCUUUUUAACCUGAAAGUUGUUCUAUUUUUAUUCUAGAUUUUUAAGUGUAACUUUCUGUAUCUUUAAAGUCAGCGCCGAUGAGUUUGAAGGAAUAACCCUCACGCAAACAGACAUUGGUAUUUUACAUACAGUUUUUUUUUUUUGUUUUGUUUUUUUAUGAACAGCUCAGUUGUUCAUAGAUUGCUGAAAUAUAACUUUUUAUGAUACAUUUUUCAGAUCUGUUAGCCAGGGCUGAAAGAUUGGUAUCCGAAGACAACCAAGAAACUGAAAAAGCAGUAAAAGCAUUGCUGUGUUCUGAAACCCCACCCCCCGUGCAGGGGACAAAUUGCUGUGUAUCUGAAAUUGGUGAAAUUGAGAUUGAGAGGGAAACCUCGGCACUUCAACAUGGGACUGACUCAAGUAAGCAGACGAACAAACUCUCCAGAAGACGUGUGAGACAGCCAGGAGGACCGAAGUCGACUGUACAAGAACCAUCAAAACAGAACCUUCAAACGUGCGCCUCUCUGAGCACUGUGACUCCCACGGCAGCUCCACUCUCCCGUGAACCUUCUGCCCCUGCGAGGAGACGUAGAAUACGGCAAGCGUGUACCACUCUGACCCCUGUACUUACAGCGGCACCAGAUCCUUUCGAACCUGCGAGGCCGAUAAGGAGACGUUGGAACCAGAGACACAAGUCUAACAUUGUCAGGAGAUUGUUUGAUGAUUCAGGGUUGAGAUUAAACGAGAGCGUUCCUGAACCGUCCUUCAACAGGGUCGAGGGGGAUACGGGGGGCAACGAUCAUCUCCAACAACAGCACAAGCACCACGAGAGCGUUCGUCAACCGUCCUUCAACAGGGUGGACGGGGAUACAGCCGGAUACAAUCAUCCCCAACAACAGCACGAGCACCACGAGAGCGUUCCUGAUCCGCUCUUUGACAGGGCUGAGGAUACAGGCUGCUACAUUCAUUCCCAACACCCCCAAGACAAGGUAGUGCUGGAGAUUUUCAAUAAUGUCAUACGGUAUAUUGUUUCCUCCAAUUGUAACCAAAGGUGUACUAAAACAGUGUUGAAAAAGCUGUAAUUUUUUUUUUUUCCUUU
rnacentral:lncRNA from 1 species